CUCUUGCGAGCCCAAAUUUUUAGGAUAUGGACUUCUCUCAAAGUCUCUCAAGCUCAUGGUUCAUGGACACCUGAGAACGCAGUCUCCUGCUGCAAUCUCUCUCACUUCCCUAGUUCUCUUCCUCUUCACUCUCCUGCUACAAUCUACUCCCUCAUCGCUCUUUGCCCACUCUCUUGCUAAAAUUUUUCUUAAAAUCUCCAAGUGCCAGGUCUAAAGAAAAUCGUUUGAAGGGGAAGUGGUUUCUAGGUUUUUGGAUUUUGCAGAGCGGAUUAACCGGCAAGCCUUUGCAGAUCCAAGAAAAUAGAGAGACUCUUAUAGUCCUCGUUGAUGCGUGUGGAGGUGUUUUUCAUACAUCAUCCCUCUUUUCUUAUGCAACCAAGGAUAUCCACAGAUCCAAAGCUUUGCAAGGAGUCUAAGCUCUGGUAUGAACUUUCAAAGACCUUGGCUGGGGAAUCUGCCUAGAAAUUUGCAAAAGAGAAAGGGAUGGACAUGGUUACAAUAAAUCCAGCAAUGGUGAUAGGUCCUCUUUUACAGCCAACCCUUAAUACCAGUGCUGAAGCAAUUUGGAACUUAAUAAAUGGAGCACAAACAUUUGGCAAUGAAACAUAUGAAUGGGUUAACGUCAAAGAUGUUGUUGAUGCUCAUAUUCUAGCAUUUGAGACUCCUUCAGCCAAUGGAAGAUAUAUAAUAGUCGAGAGAUUGCUCAUUAUUCACAGAUUGUAAAACUUCGCGUGAACAUCCAACUUUGCCCCUUCCAGAAAAGUACUUGCAUGGAUUUUGUCUUCUACUUAUCGACUUGAGGAUUGACCUAGCUACCAUGACUUGUGAACUUUUAUUUUGAAAAACUUAUUAUGUUACUAUGUUACUGUGGAUAUGGGAUUUUUUUGUCUCCAUGAUGACAAUAUGGUUUAUUUUGUUCCAAUUGAACUUUUGUAUGGAAUGGAUAGCCAU